UACGAAGGGGGCUAGCGUUGCUCGGAAUUACUGGGCGUAAAGGGAGCGUAGGCGGAUAUUUAAGUCGGGGGUGAAAGCCCAGGGCUCAACCCUGGAACUGCCUUCGAUACUGGAUAUCUAGAGUAUGAGAGAGGUGUGUGGAACUCCGAGUGUAGAGGUGAAAUUCGUAGAUAUUCGGAAGAACACCAGUGGCGAAGGCGACACACUGGCUCAUUACUGACGCUGAGGCUCGAAAGCGUGGGGAGCAAACAGG
rnacentral:rRNA from 1 species